GACGUAGGAUGCAAGCGUUGUCCGGAAUUAUUGGGCGUAAAGAGCUCGUAGGCGGUUUGUCGCGUCUGCUGUGAAAUCCCGAGGCCCCAACCUCGGGUCUGCAGUGGGUACGGGCAGACUGGAGUGCGGUAGGGGAGAAUGGAAUUCCUGGUGUAGCGGUGAAAUGCGUAGAUAUCUGGAGGAACACCGGUGGCGAAGGCGGCAUCCUGGACCGGCAUUGACGCUGAGGCGCGAAAAGCCAGGGGGAGCAAAACGGGG
rnacentral:rRNA from 1 species